AUUGAACGCUGGCGGCAGGCCUAACACAUGCAAGUCGAGCGGAGUGGCGGACGGGUGAGUAAUGCCUAGGAAUCUGCCUGGUAGUGGGGGAUAACGUCCGGCAAAGGGAGCUAAUACCGCAUACUAUCAGAUGAGCCUAGGUCGGACUAGCUAGUUGGUGGGGUAAAGGCCUACCAAGGCGACGAUCCGUAACUGGUCUGAGAGGAUGAGCAGUCACACGGGAACUGAGACACGGUCCAGACUCCUACGGGAGGCAGCAGUGGGGAAUAUUGGACAAUGGGCGAAAACCUGAUCCAGCCAUGCCGCGUGUGUGAAGAAGGACUUCGGGUUGUAAAGCACUUUAAGGUGGGAGGCGUUACCCACAGAAUAAGCACCGGCUAACUUCGUGCCAGCAGCCGCGGUAAUAC
rnacentral:rRNA from 1 species